CAGUCUUCAUCCCUAUUUUUCGCAUGGUGGCCUUACAGCAAAGGUCUUCACGAUUCAGAAGCUCAGUUUCUGAUUUUGGGGGUUUCUUAUGGAGUAACCUUCAUUAGGCGGUAGUUUUAUAACUCCUGUCACUUGAGCGCAGCGCUGCUCUAAUACCUGAGAAAAUGCUGUAAAGUGACGUAAAGAAAACACUGUCUCUGUCAAGGAUUGCCCUGUCCCCUAGAGACUGGUCACUUACUGUGAAAGACAAGCAAAAUAAUAAAAAUCAAGAGAAAAACAGACGAGAAAAAUCGCACCCCAAUAUAGCUUUUUAGGAUGAAAAUGUCAAAUAUUCAUUUUCUCUCACUGCUAACAGGAACCACGGCAUGUGCCAGGUAUUAAUUGUUGAUAAUGGGGGGAGAAAAAGUGAUCUGUUGAUAUUAUUUUCCCAGGUAAGAGUCCAAAAUCUGGUAUCAGUAAUUUUGUUUUAGGUUUUUGUUGUUUUGAGGCUUUCUUUUUGUUUUGAUUUGUCUUUUGCUUUUUUUUUUUUACUUUUUUCAUAUAGGUUGCUUUUAGAGAAGAUAAUGUACAAGACCAUAAGCUUGUCUUAAAAUAAUCUUAUGCUGAUACUCACUUAUCUGCAUAUUUUAAAAGUGGGUGAAGCAUGAAGCGAAGCAUGUAAUAUACUUAAGAACACAUAGGUACAAUUAAACGGGAAGGAAAACAAUUACUUUUCAUUCUCGCUGUGCUAAUAUUACACAGGAAGGACUAUCAAGGGCUGGAAAGCAGUUUUCUAAACUGAAGGGGGGAAAAAGGAAGAUGAAAAAAUCCCACAUUCCCAUUUCCAUGGAUGCAAAAACCCAUGUGAAAGUGGGCAAGGCAAAAUUCCUAAAGCCAGAGAAAAACAGCCACUCCAGAAUACUUAACAAGCCAGGAAUCAUUGCACGAAUAGCGUGAGAUAUUGUUUCCAGUCCCCGGCUACAGGGAACUCAAAGGAUGGUUUCUCUCGAUCAUCCAUCCCCAAGCCGUUCCAUCCCACUAUUCACUUUAAUUAAACACAGAGAUUCACAGCUCCGAAUUGUCUUGGUAUCUUCAGGGUGUUUGGUACUCCCAAGCAAGAAAUUACAGCAUCUGGCAGCUCUACCCAGGUUAUCAUUACACAUCUAACACUAGAUAUACAGCUGACAUUUCACAGGAUGCUGGAAUGUGCUCCAUUAUCUCUGUAGAAGCACUUUGUAAACUUGGAUGGGAUCCAGUUAAGGAGCUAAAAACAAUACUGUGGAAAUUACCUGACCAGUCAAGUCUAUAAAAAGUGAGUUACAAACAGCAUAAGAGAAAGCCAAU
rnacentral:lncRNA from 1 species